rnacentral:rRNA from 1 species
AGAGUUUGAUCCUGGCUCAGGACGAACGCUGGCGGCGUGCCUAACACAUGCAAGUCGAACGGAGAUAUUGAAUUUCGGUUUGGUAUCUUAGUGGCGCACGGGUGAGUAACGCGUGAACAACUUGACCUUCAGAGGGGGAUAACAGCGAGAAAUCGGUGCUAAUACCGCAUGAGACCACAAGCCCGCAUGGGGAAGGGGUCAAAGGAGGAAUCCGCUGAAGGAGAGGUUCGCGUCCCAUUAGGUAGUUGGCGGGAUAACAGCCCACCAAGCCGACGAUGGGUAGCCGAGCUGAGAGGCUGAUCGGCCACACUGGAACUGAGACACGGUCCAGACUCCUACGGGAGGCAGCAGUGGGGAAUAUUGGGCAAUGGGCGAAAGCCUGACCCAGCAACGCCGCGUGAGGGAAGAAGGUUUUCGGAUUGUAAACCUCUGUCGCAGAAGACGAAGGAAGUGACGGUAUUCUGUGAGGAAGCCCCGGCUAACUACGUGCCAGCAGCCGCGGUAAUACGUAGGGGGCGAGCGUUGUCCGGAAUUACUGGGCGUAAAGGGUGCGUAGGCGGUUAAUUAAGUUGGAUGUGAAAUUCCCGGGCUUAACUUGGGAGCUGCAUUCAAAACUGGUUAACUAGAGUUCAGGAGAGGGAAGCGGAAUUCCUAGUGUAGCGGUGAAAUGCGUAGAUAUUAGGAGGAACACCGGUGGCGAAGGCGGCUUUCUGGACUGACACUGACGCUGAGGCACGAAAGCGUGGGGAGCAAACAGGAUUAGAUACCCUGGUAGUCCACGCUGUAAACGAUGAAUACUAGGUGUAGGGGGUAUGAACUCCCUCUGUGCCG